AGAAUCAACGCUGGCGGCGUGCCUCAGACAUGCAAGUCGAACGCGAAAGGCCCCUUCGGGGGCUGAGCAGAGUGGCGCACGGGUGAGUAACACGUAGGUAAUUUGCCUUUGGGUGGGGAAUAACUCAGGGAAACUUGAGCUAAUACCGCAUAAUGCAGCGGCUCGACAUCGAGACAGUUGUUAAAGCGGGGGAUCGCAAGACCUCGCGCCUGAAGAGAAGCCUGCGGCAGAUUAGCUAGUUGGUAGGGUAAUGGCCUACCAAGGCGACGAU
rnacentral:rRNA from 1 species